rnacentral:rRNA from 1 species
UACGGAGGGUGCGAGCGUUGUCCGGAAUCAUUGGGCGUAAAGAGCGUGUAGGCGGUCCGGUAAGUCCGCUGUGAAAGUCGGGGGCUCAACCCUCGAAUGCCGGUGGAUACUGUCGGGCUAGAGUGCGGAAGAGGCGAGUGGAAUUCCUGGUGGUAGCGGUGAAAUGCGCAGAUAUCAGGAGGAACACCUAUUGCGAAGGCAGCUCGCUGGGACGUAACUGACGCUGGAGACGCGAAAGCGUGGGGAGCAAACAGG